rnacentral:lncRNA from 1 species
GGGAUAGUGAUUACGACAUCGACAACUGGGUGCAUCCGAGGAUCCCGGGUGAAGUCAUCCACAAUUGGUCUUCUGAGGAGAUUGUCCAAGUCACUUUUCUGAAGGAGUAAUUUUUCUUUGUUUGUUCAUGCAUGUCCAAGUCUUACGUUCCGCCCAAGGCGUAACGACUCAUUGUAGGGCUCAUCUAUGUGACACUUGUAUUUUUU